UGUUUUCCUCUUUUCUUCUUUUUCUUCUCUUUCCUCACUUUCUUCUCCUUCAUCUUCCUAUCAUUUAC
rnacentral:ribozyme from 13 species